rnacentral:rRNA from 1 species
CCUACGGGAGGCAGCAGUGGGGAAUUUUGCGCAAUGGGCUAACGCCCGACGCAGCAACGCCGCGUGAGGAUGAAGGUCCUUGGAUUGUAAACUCCUGUCAGCAGGGAAAAAGCAACUUAGCCUAAUACGCUAGGGAGUUGAUUGUACCUGCAGAGGAAGCCCCGGCUAACUCUGUGCCAGCAGCCGCGGUAAU